ensembl:lncRNA
UGGCAUAUGGAGCUUCCCAGGCUAGGGGUUGAAUCAGAGCUGCAGCUGCCGGCUUAUGUGACAGCCACAGCAACGCCAGAUUUAAGCUGCAUCUGUGACCUACACCACAGCUCACAGCAACACCAGAUCCUUGACCCACUGAGCAAGGCCAAGGAUUGAACCCGCAUUCUCAUGGAUACUAGAUGGCUUCAUUAACAGCUGAGCCAUGACAGGAACUCCUGAAUGCAUGAUUAUUAAUAAGCUUUACUACGUACCUAUAGCAAACACCUGAGCUGUUUUAGUCAGUGGAUUAUUAAUAUAUAAUUUUUAUGACAUUUUUUUGAUGAAGGGAAAGAUUUCCUAAUUACAGCGCUGGAUGAUUUUUUUAAUGAUAAAAAUAGGAUAAAUAAAUAAAUUAUAAUAAAAUCACCAAAAAUAAAAUGUAAAGUUUCUGAUAAAUCAGAAAACUAAAUAUAGCCCAGUUGAAAUUCAAGGAAGUGGUAUUGUAGAGGAGAGCACAGGAAUUUGCUGAAAGUAGGCAAUCAUUUGUCAAAAUUCUAAAAUAUAUUUGUGAUUGGAGUUCCCAUCGUGGCUUAGGGGUUAACGAAUCUGACUAGCACCCAUGAGGAUGCAGGUUCGAUCCCUGGCCUUGAUCACUGAGUUAAGCAUCCGGCAUUGCCAUGAGCUGUGGUGUAGGUUGCAGACCUGGUUCGGAUCCUGCAUUGCUGUGGCUGAGGUGUAGGCUGGCAGCUACAGCUCCGAUUUGACCCCUAGCCUGGGAAUCUCUAUAUGCAGCAGGGGCAGCCCUAAAAAGCAAAAAGCAAAUAAAAAAUAAAAUAUAUAUGUGAUUUGUCAAAAUUAUAGAAUAAUCAGGACCACGGAAAAAAUUAAAAUAGCAUUUAAAGUUUAUGAAGAUCUAUUUCAAUGUGUUACAAUAAAUAGUGUGACAAUUAAAAAUCACAAAUCACUAAAACAUGAAACAGUGAGUCUGCUUUCUCCAAGUCAAACUAAUAAUAUGACGUUUAAGAAUCUCAUUCGGUGAAACUAAUUUGUGAAAAUUACUGUUUAAUUCCUCAAGUUUUAGGGAAGCAAAGAGGAGUAGCUGCUAUAUUAGGCACUUCAGGUUUGUGUGAAAUUAUCUAAGCCUUUUCUCCAAUUUUGUUUUCCUAAAUAUGUUUCAGUACCAGGAAUCUUUUGAAAACCACCAAAAUCUUUUGGAAACAGACCUGGAAAUGAUGGAAUAAAUAAACAAAAUAGAAAUUAAUUUUUAAAAUGUUACCAUAGAAAUACAAGCCAGGAUGGCAGGAUCAAGACAGCAGAAGAGUAAGAUUUGGUGCUCACCUUCUCCCACAAAUACAUCAGUUAAAAACCAUCUACAUGUAGAAUGAUUUACACAGAACUUCUACUGAAUGAUGGCAGAUGACCUAAACCUCCAAAAAGAGCAAGAAACCCUCAACAUAACUAGGUAGAAAAAAGGAAAAAAAAAAGAGAGAGAAGAGAGGAAAAAAAAAAAAUAGCAAUCCAGAUGAGGCCAGCACUCCUGAGAGGGAGCUGUGAAAGAGCGAAGAACCUGCACCCUAGGAAGCCACCUAACUGAUGGGGAGAUUAGCCGAGAUGGAGGGAACUCAAAGCUGUAGAGAAAAGUGUAGCAGCUGGCCUGAGGAAGGCAAAGCAGAGACAGAACCACACAAACCAUUGGUACUGCCACACUGGACACCACAGCCUGAUAAGCUCGGAAGGGGGCUGGGCACUGAGACUUGGGUUCUCUCCAGGGAGAGAACUAGGGUUGGCUAACUACUAUAUGAUCCAGCAAUCCCACUCCUGGGCAUCUAUCCAGACAAAACUUUCAUUGAGAAAGAUACAUGCAAUUCUAUGUUCACUGCAGCAGCACUACUCACAAUAGCCAAAACAUAGAAACAACCUAAUGUCCAUCGACAGACGAAUGGAUUAAGAGCAUGUGCUAUACAUACAAUGGAAUAUUACUAAGCCAUUAAAAAGGACAAAAUAAUGCCAUUCGCAAAAACAUGGAUGGACCUACAGACUCUCAUACUAAGUAAAGUCAAGUCAGAAAGAGAAAGAAAUAUACCAUAUGAUAUCACUUAUAUGCGGAAUCUAACAUAUGGCACAAGUGAAACUAUCUACGAAAAAGAAACAAACUCAUGGAGAUAGAGAACAGACUUGCGUUUGCCAAGGAAGAGGAGAAGGGAGUGGGGUGGACUGGGAGUUUGGGGUUGGCAGAUGCAAGCUAUUGCAUUUGGAAUGGAUAAGCAAUGAGUAUAGCACAGGGAACUAUAUCAAAUCACUUGUGAUGCAACACAAUGGAGGAUAAUGUGAGAAAAGGAAUGUAUAUGUAUGUAUACCUGGGUCACUCUGAUGACAGAACAUUGUAAAACGACUAUAAUUUAAAAAAAGAAAAGAAGAGAAACACAAGCCAGGACACAUAUUUAAUUCAUCCAAUAUCUUUAAUUGCCUGAAAACAUAAUAAACACACUCUCAAAUACCAAAAGACUUUGUCCCUUUAAUUUUUUUUUUUCCAUAUACAGUGUCAUCCCAGUGAGGACUUAGGCCAUAAUUUAGUCAAUUAUCACAGGUUUGGUUCCUGGGAAGAAAAUUCUGAAACAAAGAUUAACACAUAAGAAAUUUAUUAGGGCAUGCUCUUAACAUACAUGAAAGGGUGGGGAAAUAAGAAUGAUUAGUCAAGAGAAGCUGGGCUUCAAUGCAUUCUCAACAAAGGCAUUAGCCACAGGAUAAGGGAAAACUGAGUCUAUAAGGUACUUCAGAGUAUCCUGAUUGGGCAGAGGGGUCAGCUGUAUUAUUCACACUGGGCUAAUCACUCACUGGAUUUGAGCUGCCUCAGGAAGGAUUCAUACCCCUGUGCAAAUCACUCACUUCAACCAAGAAUAUCCUCAAAGAUAGCUGAAGGCUAUCUGCCAGUUGUACUUCCAAGCAGCUAAAAGAAUAAGCCCUUCCAUCCUGAAAAAGUAUUAGGAUAGUAUGUCACAGCCUCCAGUAUACUUGUAAAGGAAAUGUUUAACUAGAGACUAAGAAGGAAUACAUGCCCACAUAAGUAUAGUCAGCUGGUCUUUGACAAAGUUGCAAAGGCAACACAAUGGAGAAAAGAGUCGUCUCAACAAAUGGUGCUGGAAAAAUUGGACAUCCACAUAAAAAAAAAAUGUGGAUGUCAGGAUGUCAUUUUUGGUGGAUGGGGAUGUUUUUUACAUCCUUUGUGGAUGUUUUUAAAUCCUUUACAAAAAUUAAUUUAAAACUGAUCAUAGACCUACAUGUAAAAUAUACAGCUAUAAACACUCUAGAAAAUAACAUAAACAAAAAUCUAGAUGACCUUGGGUAUGGCGAUGGCUUUUAAGAUACACCAAAGGCACAAGGCAUGAAAUAAAUAAUUGAUAAACUGGAAUUCAUUAAAAUUUAAAAAUUCUUCUCUGAAAAAGAAACUGUCAAGAGAACGAGAAAGUAAGCCAGAUACUGGGAGAAAAUAUUCACAAAAGAUAUAUCUGAUAAAGGACUCUUAUCCCAAAAUACUUGAAGAAUUCUUAGAACUUAACAAUAGAAAUGAAGAACACAAUUUUUAAAAAAUGGGCAAAAGACCCAAACACACACCUUGCCAAAGAAGACAUACAAAUGGGAGAUAAGCAUAUGAAAAUAUGCUUAACAUCAUAUGUAAUAAGGGAAAUGCAAAUUGAAACAAUAGUGAGAUACCACUACACAGCUAUUAGAACUGCCAAAAACCAAGUGCUGGCUAGGAAGUGGAGCAACAGGAACUCUCAUUCCUUUCUGUUGGAAAUGCAAAAUCAUACAGCCACUUUGGGAGAGUUUGGCAGUUUCUUGUAAAUCUAAACAUACUCUUAUCCUAUGAUUCAGUAAUUGCAGUCCUUGGUAUUUACCCAAACAAGAUAAACCUGGUAGAGAAAAGCAAAUGACCAAAUAAAACUUACUUUAUCAUUUUACCAUAUAACACAUUCAUUAAUAAUCAGAAGUUACUAAUAGCCAUAAGGCAUGCAUAUGUGUGUGAGUGUGUGUGCACAAAGGGAAACACACACACGUAUAUAAAAUCAGUAUAAGCAUCUAGUAAGUUAAUAAGUAUAUGCGAUAUGUGCAGGCACUGGCAAAGCUACCUCAGGAGUGAACUAUUCUUACCUAGACAAGUAAAACAUAAAAUUUCAACAGAUCAUUUAUCAGAACUUGCUCUAAAUAAUGUCUACAUAAACACCUACACACAGAUGUUUAUUGCAGCUUUAUAUAUAAUUGCCAUAACUUGGAAGCAACCAAGAUAACCUUAGUUGGUGGAUAUCAGAUAUCAGCAGAUGAAUGGAUAAGUAGACUAUUGUAUAUCUGGACAAGAGAAAAUUAUUCAGUUCUAAAAGAAAUGAGUGAUGAAGUAAUACACUGAGGAAACUUAAAUUGCAUAUUAAACGAAAGAAAUCAGUCUGAUAGGGCUACUCACUAUAUGAUUCCAACUAUAUGAUAUUCUGUAAAAAGUAAAAAUAUACAGAUAGUAAAGGGAUCAGUAGUUACCAGAAGAAAGGGGAAGGGAGGUAUAAAAGGAUUUUUAGGGCAGCGAAACUAUUCAUUACAGUCAGGACACUAUAUGCAUGUCAUUAUACAUAAGUUCAAUACCACAGAACUUAUAAUACCAAGAGUAAACCCUAAUGUAAAUUAUCAACUUUGAAUAAUAAUGAUGUGUCAAUGUGGGU